rnacentral:piRNA from 1 species
UUCUAGACAGUGUGGCCAACAUCAAC